GAUGAAGAACGCAGCGAAAUGCGAUAAGUAAUGUGAAUUGCAGAAUUCAGUGAAUCAUCGAAUCUUUGAACGCACCUUGCGCCCUUUGGCCAUUCCGAAGGGCAUGCCUGUUUGAGUAUCAUGAACAACUCAACUCUUCAUGGUUUUCCAUGAUGAGCUUGGACUUUGGGGGUCUUGCUGGCCUGUGGGUCGGCUCCUCUCAAAUGAAUCAGCUUGCCGGUUUUUGGUGGGCAUCACAGGUGUGAUAACUAUCUACGCUUGUGGUUUUCCACCAGGGUAACCUUCAGCAGUGGAGGUUCACUGGAGCUUACAAAUGUCUCUCCUCUGUGAGGACAGCCCUUUGAAUGUUUGAUCUCAAAUCAGGUAGGACUACCCGCUGAACUUAAGCAUAUCAAUAAGCGGAGGA
rnacentral:misc_RNA from 1 species